GCCCCUGUGGCGGAAUGGUAGACGCGCCUGACUCAAAAUCAGGUGGUUGCAAGACCGUGCUGGUUCGAGUCCGGCCAGGGGCACCA
rnacentral:tRNA from 1 species